GAUGAACGCUGGCGGCGUGCCUAAUACAUGCAAGUCGAGCGAACCGACCAGAAGCUUGCUUUUCUGAUUUUAUCGGCGGACGGGUGAGUAACACGUGGAUAACCUACCUAUAAGACUGGGAUAACUUCGCGAAACCGGGUCUAAUACCGGAUAAUAUUUUGACCCUCAUUGUUCCAAAGUUAAAUACGGUCUUUCUUGCACUUAUAGAUUGAUCAGCACUGCAUUCGCUAGUUGUUAAGGUAACGGCUUACCAAGGCUACGAGGCAUAGCCGACCUGAGAGGGAGAUUGGCCAGAUUGUAAGUGAGACAGGUCAGCGACUCCGACGGGGGGAAGCAGUAGGGAAUCUUCCGCAAGGGGGGAAAGGGUAACAGAGCAACGGGGGGUGAGGGAUGAAGGACUACGGAUCGUAGAGCGAUGUUAUUAGUGAAGAUCUAAAGUGUAAGUAACUGUGAUGAUAUUGACGGUACCUAAUGAAUAAGCCACGGCUAACUACGUG
rnacentral:rRNA from 1 species